rnacentral:rRNA from 1 species
AACGAACGCUGGCGGCAGGCUUAACACAUGCAAGUCGAGCGCCCCGCAAGGGGAGCGGCAGACGGGUGAGUAACGCGUGGGAAUCUACCCAUCCCUACGGAAUAGCUCCGGGGAACUGGAAUUAAUACCGUAUACGCCCUACGGGGGAAAGAUGUAUCGGGGAUGGAUGAGCCCGCGUUGGAUUAGCUAGUUGGUGGGGUAAAGGCCUACCAAGGCGACGAUCCAUAGCUGGUCUGAGAGGAUGAUCAGCCACAUUGGGACUGAGACGCGGCCCAAACUCCUACGGGAGGCAGCAGUGGGGAAUAUUGGACAAUGGGGGCAACCCUGAUCCAGCCAUGCCGCGUGAGUGAUGAAGGCCUUAGGGUUGUAAAGCUCUUUCACCGGGGAAGAUAAUGACGGUACCCGGAGAAGAAGCCCCGGCUAACUUCGUGCCAGCCGCCGCAGUAA